rnacentral:miRNA from 1 species
AUUCACACAUAUGUGAAUGGGAUUCACACAUGUGAAUGGGAUUCACACAUAUGUGAAUUUCACACAUAUGUGAAUGGGAUUCACACAUAUGUGAAU